rnacentral:tRNA from 1 species
GGAUGAAUAGCUCAAUGGCAGAGCGUCGGCUUGUUAAGCCGUUGGUUGAAAGUUCGAGUCUUUCUUCAUCCG